rnacentral:lncRNA from 11 species
CAUUUCUGGAAGGGGCUUGCUAAGCACCAUCAGAUGAUAUUGGCUUGGCCCUGCCCGCAUUCCUCCUGAAGUGGAGGGGAAACAUUGCAGGACACUUCCUCUGCCAUGCCGGAGAGAGUGGAGACUGUGGGGCCAUCUACAUGCGCCAUAAAUGACAGUGCUGAUCCCGAGUGCUGCUAAUUAGCACUGCUGAA